UAGACAAAUAAAACAAACACAUACAUAUUAAUCACAAACCUUGGGUUAUAUUCCAUAUUGGUCAAAAAAAUUUCAAGACAACAAAACAACACUAAAUAUAAUGUAAAAUUAGUUUUUUUAGAAGAAAUUUAAAAAUAGAAGGCUUAGCAUUCAAAGAAAAGAUAUGUGCUCUUCAUGACUUAAAGAAGAGGUCAGAUGGCCUCUUA
rnacentral:lncRNA from 1 species